UACGUAGGGUGCAAGCGUUGUCCGGAAUUAUUGGGCGUAAAGAGCUCGUAGGCGGUUCGUCACGUCGGCUGUGAAAUCCCGAGGCUCAACCUCGGGUCUGCAGUCGAUACGGGCAGACUAGAGUGCGGUAGGGGAGACUGGAAUUCCUGGUGUAGCGGUGAAAUGCGCAGAUAUCAGGAGGAACACCGGUGGCGAAGGCGGGUCUCUGGGCCGAUACUGACGCUGAGGAGCGAAAGCGUGGGGAGCGAACAGG
rnacentral:rRNA from 1 species